AUUGAACGCUGGCGGCAUGCUUUACACAUGCAAGUCGAACGGCAGCGCGGGCUUCGGCCUGGCGGCGAGUGGCGAGCGGGUGAGUAAUACAUCGGAACGUGCCCAGUAGUGGGGGAUAGCUCGGCGAAAGCCGGAUUAAUACCGCAUACGACCUGAGGGUGAAAGCGGGGGAUCUUCGGACCUCGCGCUAUUGGAGCGGCCGAUGGCAGAUUAGCUAGUUGGUGGGGUAAAGGCCUACCAAGGCGACGAUCUGUAGCUGGUCUGAGAGGACGACCAGCCACACUGGGACUGAGACACGGCCCAGACUCCUACGGGAGGCAGCAGUGGGGAAUUUUGGACAAUGGGCGAAAGCCUGAUCCAGCAAUGCCGCGUGUGUGAUGAAGGCCUUCGGGUUGUAAAGCACUUUUGGCGGGAACGAAAAGGACUGUGCAAAUACCACGGUUCGAUGACGGUACCCGCAGAAUAAGCACCGGCUAACUACGUG
rnacentral:rRNA from 1 species